rnacentral:rRNA from 1 species
GCACUACGGUGCUGAAGUAACAAAUGCCCUGCUUCCAGGAAAAGCCUCUAAGCAUCAGGUAACAUCAAAUCGUACCCCAAACCGACACAGGUGGUCAGGUAGAGAAUACCAAGGCGCUUGAGAGAACUCGGGUGAAGGAACUAGGCAAAAUGGUGCCGUAACUUCGGGAGAAGGCACGCUGGUGUGUAGGUGAAGUCCCUGCGGAUGGAGCUGAGACCAGUCGAAGAUACCAGCUGGCUGCAACUGUUUAUUAAAAACACAGCACUGUGCAAACACGAAAGUGGACGUAUACGGUGUGACGCCUGCCCGGUGCCGGAAGGUUAAUUGAU